rnacentral:rRNA from 1 species
UAACGAAGGGGGCUAGCGUUGCUCGGAAUCACUGGGCGUAAAGCGCACGUAGGCGGAUUGUUAAGUCAGGGGUGAAAUCUGGAGCUCAACUCCAGAACUGCCUUUGAUACUGGCGAUCUCGAGUCCGGGAGAGGUGAGUGGAACUGCGAGUGUAGAGGUGAAAUUCGUAGAUAUUCGCAAGAACACCAGUGGCGAAGGCGGCUCACUGGCCCGGUAUUGACUGCUGAGGUGCGAAAGCGUGGGGAGCAAAGCAGGGAGU